rnacentral:tRNA from 1 species
AUCUUUCUAGUAUAACCAGUAUAUGUGACUUCCAAUCACCCAGUCCCAGUUAAACUCCGGGGAAAGAUA